UACGUAGGGACCAAGCGUUGUUCGGAUUUACUGGGCGUAAAGGGCGCGUAGGCGGCGCAACAAGUCACUUGUGAAAUCUCCGGGCUUAACUCGGAGCGGCCAAGUGAUACUGUCGUGCUAGAGUGCGGAAGGGGCUACUGGAAUUCUCGGUGUAGCGGUGAAAUGCGUAGAUAUCGAGAGGAACACCUGCGGCGAAGGCGGGUAGCUGGGCCGACACUGACGCUGAGGCGCGAAAGCUAGGGGAGCGAACGGG
rnacentral:rRNA from 1 species